GUUGUUGUUGUUGUAAUCUCCAGAAGAAUCAAACAUUGCAAUCAUUGUUGUUCAUCGUUUAUCACUGCCACCGCUAGUCUCCAUCACCACCUCCGUUCAUCACAAUCCCCAUCGUCAUACUUCAACUGCCGUCAACCACCUCCAAGCACCAUCAACAACCAUAUCUCCGUCGUUCACUGUUCAACCUUUCGUCGCCGGUCACCAUCUCCGAUCAACUUCUUCAUCAUAAAUCUCCGGUCUUCGUCUCCGGUUAUCGUCUCCGGCCACCGCACAACCAUCACCUCCGUUCACUGCCAUAACUGCUGCAUCAUCUUCUUCUUCAUAUUAGGGUUUUUUUGUUAUUUAGGAUCUAACAAGGGGUGAGGAGUAUUGAAGAGGGGUUUGAAGGCUCAUGGCAUUCAGCAACGGUGCAUUCAGCAACGGUGAAGAGGGGCUAUACGGUUUUACAAUGGCUGCAGAUUACUGAUCUACACACGUUCUUUCUGUUAUUAAAUCUACACGGUUUUACAAUGGCUGCAGACAAAUCUGAUGGUGACCUUCUGUGACACUCAAAUGGCUGAAGUUCUACUUGCUGCAUUUCAGUUUGUGAUCUUGAGUUAAUUUGAGGUGUAGUAAAUUGAAUUUGGCUUUUUUUUCUUGUUUUUGGUGUAAAACCAUUACAAUGGUAA